rnacentral:lncRNA from 1 species
AUAAACCUUCCAAUCCUGUGCGAUUAUUCGCACAGGUUCAGCUAGUUAAUAAUAAUAAUACUCGGUAUAGAGGCUUCCCCAAAUCAUGGACUUAUAAUUCAUUAUUUGCAAUAUGAUUUUAAGUAUUUGUUAGUAUAGAUAUUUGUUAACUCCACCCAAGAUGCCAUAUGGCAGACUGGCACUCCUAAGCCUGGAUAAAAGAGGAGAGUUGGCAUCAGGAAGGGCAUCCAACUGUAAAACACCCUGCCAAACCUAUUAUGGUGAGUGGUAUCCAUGAUUGAGAUAAUGCUAGGGUGUUCCCCGCUGUAGGCAAUGUGCAGUUCCUUAGACACCUAAAGACUGUGAAAAGUAUGCUAGAGUUAUUGCAUUAAAAAUGGGUGCGACUAAAGAAGUUAGCUCUAAGAUCUUUACUUUUCAGGAUUGCAUCACUCAACAUAGGCAACAUGACAGUAAGAGGAAGGGAAAGUGUGGACAUGAUGAUAAAAAAAAAGAAAGAUUGAUGUCAUGUGUGUACAAGAAACAAGAUGGAAGGGGGAGAAGGUUAAAAGAUUUUCUACAUCAGUGCAAGCAAAGAAGGCAGAAAUGAAGUAGGGAUCAUCAUCUCACAAGGAAAACGUCAUAGAAGUAAGCCACAGGAGUGACAGGAUGAUGAGAAUGAAGCUGGACAUAGGCAAAACAAUCUAUGUAGUUAGUGCUAUACCCACAGGUUGGUACAAGUAUGGAGAUGAAAGAUGCUUUCUGGAAAACCAUGGAUGAAGAACUAAGACAACUGGAAGAGAAAGUUAUCAUCGGAAAGGACUUUAAUGAAUACGUUGGAACCAAUAACAGAGGCAUAGAAAGAAUCUAUGGCGGUCAUGGUUUUGAAGACAUGAACCAGG